CUCCAGGCAAGAAUAAAGGAGUGCGUUGCCAUUUCCUUCUUCAGGGGAUCGUCCUGAUCCAGUGAUCAGACCCAUGUCUCCUGAAUUGCAGGCAGAUUCUUUACUGCUGAGUCACCAGGGAUGCCCCCACGGCACAGGACUUCAGAAUCAGAGGGCUUCACAGGUGGUGCUAGUGGAAAGAAUCUGCCUGCCAGUGGAGGAGACAUAAGAGAUGUAGGUUCGAUCCCUGGGUCAGGAAGAUCCCCUGAAGGAGGGCAUGGCAACCCACUCCAGAAUUCUUGCCUGGAAAAUCCCAUGGACAGAGGAGUCUGGCAGGCUACAGUCCACAGGGUCGCACAGAGUCAGACAUGACUAAGCGAUUAAGCAUGGGACAUCCAGGUUUACUUCAAGAAAGAAUUAUUGUUCUAUUUAAAAAAAAAAAAGAAUUAUUGUUCUAUUUAAAUUAGAGUCUCUAUCAGUGAAAACAGCUAAUAUAAAAUUAACCUUAUGAGGUUAUGUUACCAUUUUCCACAUGUGAGUUUUCAAAUGAACAUUUCCUACAGAACCAUUUACUUUAGAAUCGACUUUGACAAAGGUGGUUUCAUUUUGGACCUUGUCCAGAGAAGUUUGCUCUCUUCCAAGGGAUGGAGGCAACUGAAGCUACUCCAGCAUUACAAGCUGUCUUCAGGACUCUCAUUACUGGACUAUGUUCCAGCCUUGCACCACCUGCAGGCUCCAGGACGUGCUGCUCUUUCCAUCACAGAUGGUUCUUUCUCAAGUGUGUGCUUAUUGUGAUUCCCUCAGCUGCUUGCAUCUCCUCUUUCUUUCACAAACCCUCAUUUCUGUGAGUUCUUUGAUAGCAACCCAUGAAGUCCUGAAUCUCAUACACAUAUAUUUCUUGGAACUUCCCUUUCUAAAGACAUAUUUUGCAGCUGCUCUGCAAUAGAGUGACAGUCUUGUUACUGCCAUUUUAAAUGGGUUCUUUUAGCCUCUUUUCUCUUCUUUUUAGUAAGCAGAUGAGUGGAGAAAACUCUUGCCAAACCUCUAUUUCUCAU
ensembl:lncRNA